UCCGAGUUGUCCCCGGCAGUCCUUUUAGAGUCCCCGGCAUUACCCGCUGGCAACUAAAAGCAGGGGUUGCGCUCGUUGCGGCACUUAAGCCAACACCUCACGGCACGAGCUGACGACAGCCAUGCAGCACCUGUGCUAGCCCCUUACGGACACGGGCUUUCACCCGCUUUAACUAGCAUGUCAAGCCUAGGUAAGGUGGGGAUGACGUAGUACACCUGAAC
rnacentral:misc_RNA from 1 species